UACAGAGGUGGCAAGCGUUGUUCGGAAUUACUGGGCGUAAAGGGCGCGUAGGCGGCCCGUCAAGUCCCGUGUGAAAGCCCCCGGCUCAACCGGGGAACGGCGCGGGAAACUAGCAGGCUUGAGUUCGGGAGAGGGAAGCGGAAUUCCGGGUGUAGCGGUGAAAUGCGCAGAUAUCAGGAGGAACACCGGUGGCGAAGGCGGGUCUCUGGGCCGUAACUGACGCUGAGGAGCGAAAGCAUGGGGAGCGAACAGG
rnacentral:rRNA from 1 species